rnacentral:lncRNA from 1 species
AAGCGAGCAACCUGACUCACUGACGAAGCUGGAUUAGGAAUAUAUUCCCGAGGCAGCAAUCAGUGAGUGCAAAUGGCUGGGACGAAUGGAGAGUGUUGCUCAUUCACCCCGCAGAGCGGCUGGACAGAGCGAGCCCCAUCACUGCCCAUCCUGAUGGGGUCACAGGAUAAACCCUCGUAGCAUCAUACCCGGUUGUGCAGGGGACACAACAGCAGUGCAGACCGACCCCCUGCCUCACUCAUUCCACACCCGGUGCAUUCGCGCUCCCACCCGCGUCACCGCUUUUCCACCCAGCAACGCGGCGACGUCACAGCCGUGAACCAAUGGGGAGGCGCGGGGCGGGGCCCGUGGGGAGCGUUGCGGCUUUAGCGCUGCCGCGCGUGGGCGAUGGGGGUUUGUGUCCCCCGUGCUUCGCUGCCCAGCGCUUUGUUCCGCCGUUCCGUGUGCAUCGUUUGUGCUCUGUCCGUGUCGCUCCUGUGCUACUGACGGCGAGUGUUGAAAUAAUGGUUAGCGCAGCCAAAAUAGCUCCGCUUUGUGUAUCUGUAUUUCCAUUGCGAAGCGUGAACUUCAUGUCACAAGGGAAACAGGUCCUUGAGCAUAUCUGAAAAGUCUGCAAAAGAGUCAGAUGUUCUGAUGCUGCUCUUAUCAAACGUGAGUUACAGGCAGUGCUUUGCUGUGGUCUCCUCUGGUAAGCAAUGAGCCCCUUCUGCUGCAAUUCCAGAGCUGUAGAGGAUGGUGAGGGACACAGAUGGUCUCACAAAGUAUUCAGAGGGAGCUGCAGUUUACAUACUUACUGCCCACAUGUUCACCACAGAAGAAUGAGAUAGGAAACAAAGAAAAGCAAUUUCAAAGCUGAAUUUAAAAAGCUCAGGUUUUCUUUCUAAACCAAACUGCCCCUUUCUAUACUCUCUUUUUGCCAUCUAUUUCAAAACAGAACUGCACUGGGACCCCCAGCUGGGCAUUCCAAGUCAAUCUCCUUUCCCUGUUCUGUUAGUACUCCUUGAAUUCAGUUCCUUGGUGAUUAUGGUUUCAGCAUUGCACUAGGGAGCGAUCAGGGAAUAAAUCUUUCCUUCUCUGUGGUUUGGUGUGUCUU